rnacentral:rRNA from 1 species
GAUGAACGCUAGCGGCAGGCUUAAUACAUGCAAGUCGAGGGGCAGCACGGUUAGCAAUAACUGGUGGCGAGUGGCGAACGGGUGAGUAAUAUAUCGGAACGUACCCUGGAGUGGGGGAUAACGUAGCGAAAGUUACGCUAAUACCGCAUACGAUCUAAGGAUGAAAGUGGGGGAUCGCAAGACCUCAUGCUCCUGGAGCGGCCGAUAUCUGAUUAGCUAGUUGGUGGGGUAAAGGCCUACCAAGGCAUCGAUCAGUAGCUGGUCUGAGAGGACGACCAGCCACACUGGGACUGAGACACGGCCCAGACUCCUACGGGAGGCAGCAGUGGGGAAUUUUGGACAAUGGACGCAAGUCUGAUCCAGCCAUGCCGCGUGCGGGAAGAAGGCCUUCGGUUGUAACGCUUUGUCAGGAAGAAAAGGUUACUGGUUAAUACCUGGGACUCAUGACGGUACCUGAAGAAUAAGACACCGGCUAACUAACGUGCCAGCAGCCGCGGUAAU